GCACAUAACAGGACAUGUAAAAGACUGUGGUUGAAGAAAACUGUCUAAAAGUAGAGCUUUGGAACAUCUUGCAUCUCUGCUGCUGUUAAGGAGGAAAUAAAUAAUGCACCACGGAUUGAAGCUGUGUUCAGUAUUUGUUGAAAGCACACAUCUCAUCUAAUUAAAACUUUCACCACACAAGUAGUGCUGUGUGCAUUGCAGAUUAAAGGUUUAACACAACUUUAAAAGAAGCAGCUAUUCUCUUCACUUGUUAUUGGACUUGAAACUCCUUUGACCUCGGAAACUGAAGAUGAGGUUGCCAUGGGAACUGCUGGUACUGCAAUCAUUCAUGUUGUGCCUUGCAG
rnacentral:lncRNA from 1 species